ACAGUCUAGUGAAGAAAGCAUAUGCAUUCAAUAUGUGCAGUAAGACAGUGUUAUGCUAAAAGGAGUCAUAGCUUCCAGUGACUAUACAGAAGUAGGGGCUAGUAGUCGAUCAGUGGCCGUUGAGGAGGUGACAUCUGAGCUGAGAUGUAAAGAUAAGUAGAUGUCUACUUAGAAGAUUCUGCUGAUGGCCAGAGAGCCAGCCAAGGGGAAAGGGUGCAUCACGAGAGCACAGAGCCAUACACUCAAAUUCAGUCUAACUCCUGAUGGACCCGUCAGUGGCUUAGCUUGGGGCACCAGAGCAGAUGAGGUGGACAGAUUCCAGACUGAGACCUUGUUUCAUGUCCUUGGCAGUUCUGACGUCCUAAAGGCAGUGGAAAGUCUCCGGAACCUUGGAGGAGGGAAGUUAACAUGAUUGGAUUUACAUUUUAGAAAAAGCAAAUCACUGGCCACAGCAUCAAGAAUGAAUUUGACUCUUUGAGUCAAUGGAGGUGGUAACUAUUGUGCAGUCCAAGUAAGAGACAAAACAAAACAAAACGGAAAAUGAUGCGAAAACAGCUGAACUAAUAAUGAGAGAUAUUCAGGAGAAUAUGUUUUAGAACAAAAUUGAGAAGAAUGAAAUUAUAUCCUUUGCACACCCAAACUGUGGCCUGCAAAAAUGUACCCACCACCAAUAGACUUCGUAGGCCUUGGUAGCUGGAGGACUUCUAGGUUUCCAGAUUUGGUCUGAAGAAAGAAUGAAAACAUGAACAAAUAUUUCCACA